CGCCUUGCCAGCCCGCUCAAGAAACUUAAAUGAAGUUGACGGGGGCCCGCACAAGCGGUGGAGUAUGUGGUUUAAUUCGAUGCAACGCGAAGAACCUUACCUGGUCUUGACAUCCCGGAGACCCUUAGGAAACUAGGGGGUGCUUCCAUCUGGAAGAAUCUGGAGACAGGUGCUGCAUGGCUGUCGUCAGCUCGUGUCGUGAGAUGUUGGGUUAAGUCCCGCAACGAGCGCAACCCUUGCCUUUAGUUGCCAGCAGUUCGGCUGGGCACUCUAAAGGGACUGCCGGUGUUAAACCGGAGGAAGGUGGGGAUGACGUCAAGUCCUCAUGGCCUUUAUGACCAGGGCUACACACGUACUACAAUGGCCGAUACAAAGGGCAGCGACACUGCGAGGUGAAGCCAAUCCCGUAAAAUCGGUCUCAGUCCGGAUUGGAGUCUGCAACUCGACUCCAUGAAGUUGGAAUCGCUAGUAAUCGUGGAUCAGCAUGCCACGGUGAAUACGUUCCCGGGCCUU
rnacentral:rRNA from 1 species